rnacentral:rRNA from 1 species
UACGGGGGGGGCAAGCGUUGUUCGGAAUUACUGGGCGUAAAGGGCUCGUAGGCGGCCCACUAAGUCAGACGUGAAAUCCCUCGGCUUAACCGGGGAACUGCGUCUGAUACUGGAUGGCUCGAGUUUGGGAGAGGGAUGCGGAAUUCCAGGUGUAGCGGUGAAAUGCGUAGAUAUCUGGAGGAACACCGGUGGCGAAGGCGGCAGCCUGGACCAACACUGACGCUGAGGAGCGAAAGCCAGGGGAGCAAACGGG